AGAGUUUGAUCCUGGCUCAGGAUGAACGCUGGCGGCGUGCCUAAUGCAUGCAAGUCGAACGACGCAUACCGGAGGGGUAACCCACUGGUAUGACGGAGUGGCGAACGGGUGAGUAACACGUGAGCAACCUGCCCCACAGACCGGGACAGCCCAGGGAAACCUGGAUUAAUACCGGAUAUCCUCGGAGGAUCGCAUGAUCGACCGAGGAAAUACCUUUGUGCUGUGGGAUGGGCUCGCGACUUAUCAGCUAGUUGGUGGGGUAACGGCCUACCAAGGCGUCGACGAGUAGCUGGUCUGAGAGGACGAUCAGCCACACUGGGGCUGAGACACGGCCCAGACUCCUACGGGAGGCAGCAGCAGGGAAUCUUGCGCAAUGGACGAAAGUCUGACGCAGCAACGCCGCGUGGGGGAUGAAGGCCUUCGGGUUGUAAACCCCUUUCAGGAGGGAAGAAAUUGACGGUACCUCCAAAAGAAGCACCGGCCAACUACGUGCCAGCAGCCGCGGUAAUACGUAGGGUGCGAGCGUUAUCCGGAAUCAUUGGGCGUAAAGAGCUCGUAGGCGGUUCAGCAAGUCGGCUGUGAAAGUCCGAGGCUUAACCUCGGAAGUGCAGUCGAUACUGCUGUGACUCGAGUCCGGUAGAGGAGAAUGGAAUUCCCGGUGUAGCGGUGAAAUGCGCAGAUAUCGGGAGGAACACCAGUAGCGAAGGCGGUUCUCUGGGCCGGCACUGACGCUGAGGAGCGAAAGCGUGGGUAGCAAACAGGAUUAGAUACCCUGGUAGUCCACGCCGUAAACGUUGGAUACUAGGUGUGGCGUCCCGAUUAACGGUCGCCGUGCCGAAGCUAACGCAUUAAGUAUCCCGCCUGGGGAGUACGGCCGCAAGGCUAAAACUCAAAGGAAUUGACGGGUCCCCGCACAAGCGGCGGAGCAUGCGGCUUAAUUCGAUGCAACCCGAAGAACCUUACCUGGGUUUGACAUCACGGGAAAAGCUGUAGAAAUACAGUGUCCAUUAGGGCCCGUGACAGGUGGUGCAUGGCUGUCGUCAGCUCGUGUCGUGAGAUGUUGGGUUAAGUCCCGCAACGAGCGCAACCCUUGUCCUUAGUUGCCAGCACGUAAUGGUGGGAACUUUAAGGAGACUGCCGGUGAUAAACCGGAGGAAGGUGGGGAUGACGUCAAGUCAUCAUGGCCCUUAUGGGCUGGGCUACACACGUGCUACAAUGGUCGGUACAGAGGGUCGCGAACCCGCGAGGGGAAGCCAAUCCCAGAAAGCCGAUCUUAGUCCGGAUCGCAGUCUGCAACUCGACUGCGUGAAGUCGGAAUCGCUAGUAAUCGCGAAUCAGCAACGUCGCGGUGAAUACGUUCCCGGGCCUUGUACACACCGCCCGUCACACCAUGGGAGUGGGUUGCACCAGAAGUAGUUAGCUUAACCUUAGGGAGAGCGAUUACCACGGUGUGAUUCAUGACUGGGGUGAAGUCGUAACAAGGUAACC
rnacentral:rRNA from 1 species